ACGCACGCUGGCGGCGUGCUUAACACAUGCAAGUCGAACGGAAAGGCCUGUCCUUCCUUGUGUUGGACGGGUACUCGAGUGGCGAACGGGUGAGUAACACGUGAGUGAUCUGCCCCCAACUUGGGUAUAAGCCUGGGAAACUGGGUCUAAUUCCCGAUAGGACUGCAGGGUGGUGCCUGUGGUGGAAAACGAUUUUCUAGUGGUUGGGGAUGAGCUCGCGGCCUAUCAGCUUGUUGGUGGGGUAAUGGCCUACCAAGGCGGCGACGGGUAGCCGGCCUGAGAGGGUGGACGGCCACAUUGGGACUGAGAUACGGCCCAGACUCCUACGGGAGGCAGCAGUGGGGAAUAUUGCACAAUGGGCGGAAGCCUGAUGCAGCGACGCCGCGUGGGGGAUGACGGCCUUCGGGUUGUAAACUCCUUUCGACCGCGAGGAAGCCGCCUGGUUGGAAGGGUGGUGACGGUAGUGGUAGAAGAAGCACCGGCUAACUACGUG
rnacentral:rRNA from 1 species